rnacentral:misc_RNA from 1 species
AUCUGUUAUAUUUAAAAAGAAUUAUUUUUGUUCGGGAAGAUUGAUAAGUGAAAAACUUUUCGUCUAAUGAUUGAGCAAGGGUAGUAACACAAUGUGUGGAUUCACACUAGGAGGCAACAACAAUGGAACAAGGUAAAGUAAAAUGGUUUAACGCAGAAAAAGGAUUUGGCUUCAUCGAACGCGAAAACGGAGACGAUGUAUUCGUACAUUUCUCAGCUAUCCAAAGCGAAGGAUUCAAAUCAUUAGACGAAGGUCAAGAAGUUACUUUUGAAGUUGAGCAAGGUCAACGUGGACCCCAAGCUACUAACGUUCAAAAAGCAUAAUUUUAAAUACAAUAUAUAACGGACCCUACUUGUAGGGUCUGUUUUU